CAAUAGCUACUUGCAUCAUUAUAAAUAUGAUGCAAGAUCGACUAUGUCGAAUAAAAUUCUAGGUAGAAUUAUGAUAAUGACAUUGUCUGCCUAUGUGUCUUGACCAAAUUACGUGCCAGCAGUCGCGGUAAUACGUAGAAGACUAGUGUUAUUCAUGUUUAAUCGGUUUAAAGGGUACCUAGACGGUAAAUCAAGCCUACAUAAAUAAAGAAGAUAAAGGGACUAAUUUACUAGAGUUACUUCUGAGGGGGUAUUAAAGUACUGCUGGUGUAGAGAUGAAAUUCUGUCAUACCUCUUUUCAAUAGAAAAAUAAUGGCACAGGUAUAGGCGAAAGCAUCCCCUUAUGUGAUAACUGACGUUGAGGGACGAAGGCUUUGUGUAGCGAACAGGAUUAGAUACCCCAGUAGUCAAAGCAGAAAAUGAUGAAUGUCAUAGAUUAGAUAAAUAAGUUUAUUCUAUAAAUGAAAGUGUAAGCAUUCCACCUCAAGAGUAAUUUGGCAACAUUGGAACUGAAAUCAUUAGACCGUUUCUGAAACCAGUAGUGAAGUAUGUUGUUUAAUUUGAUGAUCCGCAAAAAACCUUACCACAAUUUGAAUAUUUAUAUUUUUUAUUGUUUUCUUAUUAAUUUUCUUCUUUGAAGAAAAAGAAUAAGAAGAAAAUUAAUAAUGAGGCAAUAAGAAGA
rnacentral:rRNA from 1 species